rnacentral:tRNA from 1 species
GCGGGGUGGAGCAGCCUUGGUAGCUCGUCGGGCUCAUAACCCGAGGUCGUCGGUUCAAAUCC